rnacentral:sRNA from 1 species
ACCAUUUCCUUAUCCACAUUCAUUUGUUUCUGUUAUUUCUUGUGUUAAUGUGUGAGUGGCGUUCUGUUCUUGCUUCAAUGGCAGUUGUUGUUUUUUCUCUCUUCAAAUGCUUGACAGACUGUGGAAGUGUGUGUGUGUGUUAGAGCUUUCUUUGCAGUUACACACGGAGUGUAUAGUCUACUGUGUUCUUUCGCUGCGUUGGGGCAAGAAGCACAUUGAGUUGGCUUACGGGAUGGAUGGCUGGCUGGCUGGUCGAUGGCAUGAAGAAGAGAUGUCAAAAAACAUUCCAAGAAAUAUUUGAGUUUGAAUUGUUAGCAAAAUAUUUUAACAUAAAAUGAAGCCCCCGAUCGAAAUGAGGCAACGCAACACACACACCCAUCCUUGCAGACAUAUCGCUUGAUUCUCAUACUUAUCCACAUUCAGUUGUCAGCCAUUUAGCAACAAAACGUGCCCCAUUUCGUUGCAAACGCCAAACAAUUUGACAAAGAACAAAAAAA